rnacentral:rRNA from 1 species
CAAAAGCGUAUAUUAAAGUUGUUGCAGUUAAAAAGCUCGUAGUUGAACCUUGGGCUUGGCUGGCCGGUCCAUCUUUUUUGAUGCGUACUGGACCCAGCCGAGCCUUUCCUUCUGGCUAGCCUUUUGGCGAACCAGGACUUUUGCUUUGAAAAAAUUAGAGUGUUCAAAGCAGGCCUUUGCUCGAAUAUAUUAGCAUGGAAUAAUAGAAUAGGACGUUAUGGUUCUAUUUUGUUGGUUUCUAGGACCAUCGUAAUGAUUAAUAGGGACGGUCGGGGGUAUCAGUAUUCAGUUGUCAGAGGUGAAAUUCUUGGAUUUACUGAAGACUAACUACUGCGAAAGCAUUUACCAAGGACGUUUUCAUUAA